ACACUCUAUAGCCCAUUGGAUACGAGUUUUAAACCACACCUGUGUCAAAUCAUAGUUUUAAAAUACCAGUAUAUUAGACAAGACGGACGUAUUGUGAAAUGAAAUUGGGUGUUCUAUGAGUGAAAUAUUGCCUGGACAGGAGAACUGCAGAUCAUGACACAGACAGAACAAAUGGUGUAGGAACAUGACACAAUAUUAGACAAGACAUAUUCUCCGAGUAAAGUAACGUAAAAAGAAAUGCAAUGCUUUAUAUCACAACAAUACACAUUCUUGUGUAAUGACUAGUUUCCAAACUUUUCUAGCGAACAACAAUGAAAUGAGCCGGUGGCCACUGCCAAAUUCACGAUUUAUGAUAAUAUAAUAUAAAGGGAGGAAGACAUUGCCAAAAAUACUGAGCUAUAUUCACUGUUACUAAUGACAAAUCUAAUGACAUUAGCAAAGAGGAAGAUGGCUGGAACUGUUUAGGUAGAAAAAAGCUGAGAUGAGAUGAACACCAGUUGAUCCAGCUGUUCCAGUUUACAAGAUAAGACAUUUAUUGUUAACAACCUAAGACCAAACUAGUGAAGUAUCUCUUUGCGUCAAUUAUGGAUGAUGCUGAUGAAUACCCUGAGGUGGUACUCAGGAAAUCCGCUCGUAGAACAUCACAGAGGUCUGAUUUAAAAUUCAGAGAGACUAAUGUGACCAACUCAGGUGAUAAUUGUCAGAUUUCGGAAGAGCGAAGGAAUGAAGUGGACACUGACGAUGGGUCCGGUGCACAUAAGGAACAGGUUUGUUUAAGAAAGCAGAUGACCACUCAAAAAACAGGUGAUGGGGGAGCUUCCAGUUUGAGGAGAUCGCGAUAUUUAUCAAUAAAGAGAGCAAGCCUCCCACCACCACCACCCACACCAAGUGCCGACGAUAUCGAAAACACAGAAACCUUAAUGCAAACUUUAGUUUCCUUUCAUCUCCGUCUAGGGCCAAGUCAACGCUCAGAAACUAGUACAGGACAGAAUGGCAACAGACCAUUACCCAUGAGGAAAUCCAGACUCUUCCCAACAGCCCGCCAAUCACAGAUCUUUGAAGAAAAACGACGGAAGCUUCCCCCGCCCCCACCCGUACCGAAAUAAGCGCAGGAUAGCCACGAAAGAAUAAUAUUCAUGCAUCAUUUUGUCGGACAUUGAAAUUGAAAACGGUCAUCUGUAUCUAACGAUAUAAUCUUAUAUUCACAUAUACUCAAACUAAUUUAAAUAUUAAUAUAAUCUUUGUUUAUUGUAUCAUGCAAAAACUAUAAAUAUACGGUCGUUAAUUAUAUGUAGAUGCACAUCUGUUAAAUGUUUUUUCUAUGGAAAUGGAAAUAAAAUGAAAUGAGGUUUA